rnacentral:rRNA from 1 species
GAUGAACGCUGGCGGCGUGCCUAAUACAUGCAAGUCGAGCGAAUGGAUUAAGAGCUUGCUCUUAUGAAGUUAGCGGCGGACGGGUGAGUAACACGUGGGUAACCUGCCCAUAAGACUGGGAUAACCCCGGGAAACCGGGGCUAAUACCGGAUAAUAUUUUGAACUGCAUGGUUCAAAAUUGAAAGGCGGCUUCGGCUUUCCUUUCUGGAUGGACCCGCGUCGCAUUAGCGAGUUGGGGAGGUAACGGCACACCAAGGCAACGAUGCGUAGCCGACCUGAGAGGGUGAACGGCCACACUGGAACUGAGACACGGUCCAGACUCCUACGGGAGGCAGCAGUGGGGAAUAUUGCACAAUGGGCGCAAGCCUGAUGCAGCAACGCCGCGUGGGUGAUGAAGGUCUUCGGACUGUAAAACCCUGUCGUCAGGGACGAAGGUGGCAAGGUUAAUAACCUUGUUACUUGACGGUACCUGGAGAGGAAGCCCCGGCUAACUCUGUGCCAGCAGCCGCCGUAA